GCAACAAUUGAAAAACAAGUUCUUGGUGUCUUCACUCACAGGUCUCCUACUGGUGCUUGGGCCAUUGCUAGGUAGAACUUGUUGCAUAUUGACCCCACUGAUACAAAUGGCAGGAACAAUUACCUAUUUUAGUCCUCUAACUUUGCUCAAAUUUUUAGUUGAGUCCUUAAAGUUUAAACUGGUCAAUUUGGUCCCAAAUCUUUCGAAACCUUUGCAAAAUGGUCACUCGUUAUCUUCAUGUUUCCAAGUAUUUAACAAAGUUGCCCAGUAGCAGUUAAUUAUCAUAUAUGGUCCACCCAAUUGCCCAGUAGCUAUAUCUAAAGUGAAAAACUUUAAGUUGAACAAUAUCGAAAAUGAUUAACCUCCUUCCUUUAUAUUUUGGCAUUUCAGAAACUGCCACGUAUGAUAGUAAACUACCAUUGGACAACUCGGUUAAAUGCUUGGAAACAACCAAACCAUUUUGCAAACGUUUUGAAAGAUUUGGGACCAAAUUGACCAGUUUAAACUUUGAGGACUCAACUGAAAAUUUAAGCAAAUUUAGAAGACCAAAAUAGCUAAUUGUUCCAGAUGGCAGUAAUGUACUGUACCACACCAGCGUUACUCUGAAGUCUGAACUCUAACAGGUAUAUUAUUGGUCUUCGGUGGCACUCCAUAGUCAAAAUUACACAACAUACAAUUGGAUUCUUGCAGCUUUCCCCAAGUCAGCAGUUUGUGGUGUGUAAGAAGAGCCUCGUGCAUAGCUAGCCACCACCACCACCACUAUUCUCUUAUUUCUCUUCCUGGGACGUGUAGUCUUCUCUUCAAGGACAUCUUAAUCUCGACCACCACCACUCACCAUCAUUGUGAGCACUUCUCUUCACUUCUUAUCUGAUUUUAAAAACCUAAUUUUGAUUUUGAUUUUGAAAAACCUAAUUUUGAUUUUGAAAACCUAAUUUUGAUUUUGAUUUUGAAAUUGGGGGUUUUAAAAACCUAAUUUUGAUUUUGAUUUUGAAAUUGGGGGUUUUUAACAAACCCUAAUUUUGAUUUUGAUUUUGAAAUUAGGGGUUUUUACCCACCCUAAUUUUAAUUUUGAUUUCGAAAUUAGGGGUUUUAAAACCCUAAUUUUAAUUUUGAUUUCAAAUUGGUGGUUUUAAAAAACACUAAUUUUAAUUUUGCUUUGAAAUUUUGAAAUUAUGGUUUUUAAUUGGUAGAUAUCAACCAGAUUCAUUCAUAGAGGACAGAACGUGACAUUUUACAUUACCAUGGACCCAAUGUUGUAUUAAUGAAAAAGAAUUGUUGUUGACUUGUUUUGGCAUGUGUUACAUUAAUACAACAACAAGUCAACAACAACAAUUUUUUUUUGUUUUUUUAAGUUUUGACACGGCGCAAUAACAGAAAACCAAAGUCCUGUGGGUACGUCCGUGAUCUAUCUGCUUGACUUAAUAAGGCUUUAUAUUGAACCGUAUUCUAUCUUCUAUAUUAUAAUCUAUAAAGGGUACAUAAAAUAGAUAAGUUUGGGUUAUAAGUAGUGUUCCAGAUUCUCUCGAGUUCGAAGUUGAGAUUAGAUCUGCGGUUGUGAUUGGAUUGGAGACAAACUCAUUUAUUAAUGAGUUAAUUAGCGACUGCCCCUAGAUUUAAAAGCCAAAGUUGUGAAUGCCCCCAGAUUUUUUUUUUUUUGUUUAGUGAUGCCCCAUAGAUUUGCUUCCUUAUUCUUUUAAUACCAAAACUACCCUUUCAUUUUGUUUAGCCUUUACCCCAAACUCCGUAAAACCAUUUUAACUACCAUGUAUGAAAGAAAUUGGUGGUUUUUGUUUCGAACAAUAGAUCUAGAUAAAAACAAUCACACACAUCUCGAGGUUUAUCCUACGAUAAUAAAACAAAACAACCAAUAACAUGAUGCCACAUGUAAAGUGCUUCACCAAAUUAAACCCACAAAUCUCUACUAAUUGAACAUCUUCUUCACCCCCAUUUCAAUAGCAAAACCCAAAGUAUCUUCACCCCUAUUUUCAAAGUCUAUCUUCUCACCUUGACCCCCAUCAUCAGUUUUAUAGAGUUAGGGGCAAAUGCUAAACAAAAUGGAGGGGUAGUUUUGGUAUUAAAAGAAAAAUGAAGCAAAUCUAGGAGGCAUCACUAAACAAAAAAAAAUCUGGGGGCAUUCACAAUUUUGGCUUUCAAAUCUGGGGACAAUCGCUAUUUAACUCUUUAUUAAUCGUUGGAUUAGAUUGGGUCCAAACUUAAGUUGUGUUGGAUGGUUGGGAUCACAUUUAGAUUGAAUAGUUUUCUUAAACCUUAAUUGUCAAUUUUCUUCCUCUUCCUCUUCUUUGUUUCCUCAUCAAGGUACUGCGAUUCUAUCAUCAUCUCAAUCAUAAUCAUCAUUGUCUUAAUCAUAAUCGAUCAGAAAAAAAAUUCAACAAAAUUCUCAAUCAUAAGCAUCAUCGUCUCAAUUAAUCAGAAAAAAAUUCAACAGAAAUUCUCAAUCAUAAUCAUAAUCUCAGGUACUCUAGUCUUCAAUAGUAUCAUCAUCAUCUCAAUAAUCAUAAUCAUCAUCGUUUCAAUCAUAAUCAGAAAAAAAAUCACUGCACUUAUACAGCUUCAAGUAAACUUAAUUUUUGUAUUGUUUGCCAAUCUCUUUCUUCAAAGUAGGGGUGGCAGAUGUUGACACGACCUGUAAACCCAACACGAACACGACCCGCAAAUAACUUACCCGAACACGACACGCUACCUGGUUCGUGUUAUAUAUGGAUUAACCCGAAAACCCCGCUACAUAAAUGGGUCGUGUUCGGAUUUAACACGUACACCCGAUCUGACACGAUAACAACCCAUUUUCACAGCCGUACUCAUUGAUCUGAAGAAGAUUCACAACUGAAAAUAAACUGAUUGGUGGGAAGAUUUGUGGACUAUGGUCUAUGAAGUGAUGAAAUUUUAUUAAUUAAAGAUGGAAAGAUUUCCAUCAGGGUUUCUGACCAGAAGAACUUCUAAUACAUUAGAUCUUCAACUACAUCUUCUUCAAAACCCAUAUUUGGGUACCUUUACUUCAUCUUCCUUCACUAAAUUCGAAAAAAUAACACAGAUUCACAACAAAAUCAUCAAUCUUUUGAAAAAAAUUCAACAAACCCAAUUUUUUUCACAACUUCCAAGUCUUAAUCAAUCAAUUCCACUUCUUUAACAACAUACCCAUCAUCGAAAUCUAAUAUCUUCAUCUUCUUUCUUUGAUAUUUUAUACAAAAUCAUAAACCCCAUCAUUAUUUUAUUACUCUGUUCUUCUAUUGAAUAUAAGGUUUUUUGGAAGAAUUUGAUAAUUGGGUUGAAGAGCUGAGAGAUGAAUAGGAAGACAAAGAAGAAGAAAGAAAGAUUCGAACCAAAUUAACGUGUCGGGCGUGUCACCCACUAAACAAACAAGGUCGUGUUCGGGUUGACCUGUUUAGUAACUGGGUCUCUUUCGGGUUAAUCUGUUUUGACACACAACCCAGUACUGACCCGACACGACCCAUUUGCCACCCCUACUUCAAAGUAAGUGGUGAAGUGGUCUUCAAGGGAUUGCUUGCUAAUUGACUGCAUCCACUCGAUCCUAAGCGGGUAAUAUUUUUAUCUUGCUUUAAGGAAUUAUAAUUAAGCUAUUUUUAUCUUACGUGAUUUUUUUUUCUCAUUCGAAUGAAGAAACUCCAUAUCAAAAUGGACUACCACGAUCACAUAAUUAUUCUAGUGAUUUGCGUAAAGAUGCCCAUACCCCCUUCUGUAAACCUAAUACCGUCUUUUUGUUAGAUCAUUAUAAAUUGAAUUUCCUAUAGAAAUUUUUUUGUAAGAUAUUUGAAUUGGAUGGACAUUGCUUCCAUUAGUAUGUGUAAUAUAGUCCUUCUAACAACUUUCCAAUGUACUGUCUUCUUCCAUCUUCACUAUCCCCCCCAUCAGCUUUCCUUUAACAAAACCUAAAACGGAACCUUUUUGAUAUAUCAUCCCGGUACGUUGAACAUAAAUGUAUCACUCAACAAACUGAAAUUGAUGAGAUAAUAAGUUUGAAUUGUUAUUCGAUCCUAUCAUGGUCAUCUUAGUGGUGUACAUUGCUUGGCUCUUCACCCGACUUUAGAUAAUGUAAUGUUUACAGGUGGAGGUGAUUCGGUCUGUCGUGUAUGGGAUGUUCAUACAAAGACCCAAAUUCAUGUUGUUUCUCAUUCCAAUACAGUUUUAUAUCUUCUUGCAAGACCUGUAGAUCCACAGAUUUUGUAACAGGUUCCCAAGACUCAACCAUAAAGUUUUUGGACCUUAGUAUGGGAAAACAAUGGAGACUUUCACUCACCAUAAGAAAUAUGUUCGACCAAUGGUACAACAUCCCAGUGAGCAACAUUGCUUUGCAUUUACAUCCCCUGAUAAUGUCAAGAAGUUUAGCAAUAGUAUAGUUUUCACCUACGGGAGGGCACCUCUUCUUUAUUGAUCUGAGCCGUGAUUCUCUGUCAUCUUAGGUGAUACACUGUAGUAGUGUAGUUCCGUACAAGCAAUAGUUCCAACCAAGUUAAACAUGAAAAUUGGAAAGUAAUGAUAACAAUGACUUGAUAGUUGAGAGUCAGGUUUGAUAAUGGCAGUCAGAAUUCUGAGUUUCUUUGACCUCCCAUAAUGGCAGUCGGAACAAUCUAAUUGCAAGUUUGUUUUACAUCUUGCAGACAACUAGAAUAAAUAUUUUCUAGAAUAAUUGGUGUAUCAUAACAGUUUAUGUAUAAGUUCUAGAAAAAACUACAGUGUAUCACCUUUUAAUGUAAAUAAAAUUUAUAGGAUCGUGAAAUUUUUUUCUAGGAUCAUAAUUUUUUUCUAGAACUUUUACGAUCGACAUUGAAGUUUUUGUAUCACAACAGUUACUAAAAAUAAGAAAAAAACACACUAUAUAUUUUGUGUUAUCAUUAUACACUUAACAUGUUUAUUUAUUUACAUUAAGAGAGUAAGCUCCUUUUUUUUAAAGUUAUAAGCUAAAUUAAUCUAUAAAUUUGGUCUGACAGGUACUGAUAUUAUUACCAGUGGCAAGCAUUGCAUUUCGAGUUAUUAAGAGGCUUAUACAGUUAACACCUUUGUCACACAAAGUAAGAUUUUUCUAUUUCCUUUUCUUUUGUAUAUUUUUUCUAUUAUAUAGUCGCAAUUUAUUUCAUGCUUUAGCUAAGAUUUGAACCACUAUAGUAAAAUAUUCAAAUUAGAGUUGAAGUUCCUAAUGUUUGUGUUGAGGUACACUUCACAAUCUGGAUGGUAGUCUACAAUUUAGUUUAUAAUCUUCCGCAAUUCCAUACUGAACAGAUAACAUGUUGUUUUUCCAUAAGUUGCUCAUUUUGUGAAUUGUCUACCAGAUGUUCAUUCUACUGUUAUGUGAUAUUUAUGGCAACAUUCGUUUUAAACUAACCUGGAUAGCAAUGCUAAAAUAAUGAAAUAUUGUAUAGUAAUGUUACUAUCUAACUCAUGAUAGACGAAGAAACAUUGAGGUCUUGAUGGAAUGAGCCUUUCACAGAUAAGAAGAUCGUAUACAUUGAUUACGAGCCUCAAAUUAAUCUAUUGUUGCUUUCUACUUUGUACCAGGUGGCAUAUCUUGACAUGACCAACAUACUUGACCUUGCAAAGCUCUGCAACUCAGUUCAAUAUUUUACUGGUAUAUACUCAAAUCUUCUUGGAACACCUACUAGGCAGCCGCAGGGUGUAAGUGUAAUAGUGUUUUUAGUAUUGUUUUUGAAAUGAUAUCCUAUUACGGAGGAGAACUUCAUUAUACAACCAAAAAUGAUUAUGAUAUUAGCAUUAGAACAACUGCUAGCCUUCAUAACCUUGGGUAUUUAGCACAUUGUAAUGAAUGAGCUGAUAUUCGGUUUCUUAGCCAAGUGUAAAACAAACUUCAAAAUGUUAAAAUGACUGCAAUGGACCAAUAUAUACACUCAAUUAGCUAAUACCUUCUAGAUACCUUUGGUUUAAGGCUUCUCCUUUUUAUCUGGGGGUCAUUGAAUACGUUCCAUUACUCUGGAAAUUGAGAAACAAUCUUCUAAUAAAUGUCCAUAUAAGUACGCUGACAUUUUACUGCUUGAGUAUGCAUUUUGUAUGUUCCAGAUUUCUAUAUUGAAUUAGUUUUUUAUGUUCUUUAUGUUGUUUUUAUUGAUAUUGUACCUUAAGAAGCUCUUACUUUGCAAGUUAGGAUAAAAAUGAAGAAUUAAUACUCAACUGGAUAUCAUUCAUUUGUUCUCUCUUUUCAGAGGUUGCUAAUCUGCAUGAUAUUUCCUUAUAUAUAAUAAUCUCUUUCAGAUACUUCUCGAGCUUGAUCAUCUAAACGAUUCCUCCAAACCUUAGGUCAAGAUUAAAGGAACAAAUAGAGAAGUAACAUCUGCUGCCAGUUCAACACUUGGCCUAGAUGGUACAUAUACUACACAGGUGAUUUAUCUCACUAUUAUACUAUUGGUCGGUUUGAUUCUAUGUGAUGUACAUGAUUUCCAUUUCCUUUGAUAUAAUUGCUUGAUUUCCCACACCUACAGAGCUACUUUCAAAUCAUUCUUGAAAGUUUGGCAACAUCUGAAAGAAGCUCAACAGAAUUCACUGUCAGCAAGCUGCACAAUUGUAGAAGCUGAAGUUCUCUUUGUAGCACAACUCUUCAGGUCAACCCUUCACAAUGUAUAUGGUACUUUACAAUUUAGUUUACAAUCUUUCCGUAAUUCGAUUCUUCAAUUAUAUGGCAGUUGGCACUAAUAAAAUUCUGCCCAAAGAAUACUUAAUAGAUAACAUGUUGCUUUCAUUGUUGUAUGGGGGGUUUGCUUUAUCUGCUUUCAGUUCAGUUUAUCCUCUCAUUAACCAAUGAACUCUCUUCUGACUGGAGUAAUAGCUUUGUUUGCUAUGAAAGGUUUAUAUUAAACAAUCAAUAGGAUUUCGGCCAUGUAAAAGCCAACAAUAUCAUGGUGAACUCAUGUUCUUAUUUAACGAGAACAAGUCCUUGAUGUAUAGGAAGAGCGUGAAAAAAAUACAAUAUCUCAGAAUUUAUUUGUCAGUAAAUGGGCAGAAUAGUAUUCCCAGUCUAAGAAAAGAACAAAACUUUAAACGUCAUAAUUUGCAUCUUCGUUAUCUCUUUGAACUCUAAAGUUGUCAUACUAAUUUUCUAAACUCGUGUGCGAAAUGAAUGAUAUAUACCUAUGAAUAGUUUUAGGCAAGAUAGAACUUUCCAUAUACACCAUUGACAUAAACUCCGUGCGACAAAUGAGGCAGAUGACUUCAGGUUCCAAAGAGAAAGUUAUAGAUGGUUUCUCCAAUAUACUUAGAUAAUAAUGAAAUUGAGGUAACGACAUGGACUUCAUAUACACAAAACUAUAUUACAAGUGAGUGGAAUACAGUAUAUCAGAGUAACUUUAGAUAUUAGUAUUUAUGUUUUGUUCACUACAGAUUUGCUUGGAUGUUUUAUAGUUAUUAUUAAGAGUCAAAUGAACCCUAUGAUUCAAUGUUCUUCACGAGAUGUAGAAAAGGACAAUUAGGAAGUUUCAAGCAGUGGAACUUUGAUAAAAGUGCUGGAGAAGUUCUGAAGGCCAUUAAAAACUGACUUAGACACACUUUACCAUUAGCCACGCUGCCACAUCGUUGAUCCAAAGUUUAAUCUUGAUGGUUUCUUAAAGAUGGUAUUCUUUCAUUAUCAAAUGAUGAGUACAUGACCUACUAAUAAACAUGGAAUACAUAUAAGGUUAAUCAUAAGCUUUUUGACAAACCAUAAAAUUAUAGGUGUGAUGAUCCCACUGUCAGGGUGUUAGAUUGUAUUGAGUUUAAUUACUCGGUUUACUACUGAAAUGAGCCAAGAGAGAGAUGUUAUGUGUCUUGCCUCUUGAUUCCUUCCCAGUUUUAGAUUUAUUGUAGCCACAAAUUCAUCAAUAUACAUGUGUUGAAAUUUAAUUUUGGGUAGAAGUAUGGGCUAAAUAUGAUGUUAAGUCUGUGUUUUAUAGUAUUUAUUUGUAUAAAGUAGGGAUUAAAAUCCCAUGUUGAAAUUGAAUUUUGGCUAAAAGUCUCGAUAUGAUUAAGUUUGUUGGAAUUUGUAUUUUUUUAUUGAAAUAAUUCCUCAUUAAGUUGACUUGCUGUUCACAAUUUAGUCUAUCUUCCCCUUCAUUUCAAGUUCGAAGAGUUUACAAAGACAUAGAUAUCAGUUUCUUUUAUAACUGCUUCAUUGGUCUACAUUGUAGAAAAGAAGAAAGAUUUAAUUAAUGGAUUAAAAAUGUAUCCAUCUUCAUUUCUCUAUGAUUCAGUAAGGCAACCCACAUGUUACAUCUGCCUAAUUGUGCCUGUAGGUGAAGUCUUGCGACAGUUAUGAACAAAAAGUAUUUUGUGCAAAACCAUAAAACAAAGAGUAAAUGAUUAAAGCUUACCUUCAAGAGAACCAUCAUUUCAUGUAAAGCCCUUGACGAAGGCUUCCAUGCUGACACCUGAAUACUAUUACAUUAAGUGACCAAGACUCCAGAAGGUGUGUAUUUUUAAGUAGAUUUCUCGAGUUUUAUCUUUGAAAAGUUAUCAUUAGCUAUCUUUUGUUCCUUCAAUGUAGGCUGAUUAAUUACAAGCCCAGUUAAAUCUUAAGGCAUUAGAAGUCAACAGUUUUGUUUUGGAGUUAUGUGUGCAACCUUCAUCUGUUCAUGGAAUACUUUUUUUCAUGUUCGUUGAUCUUCAAAGGCCCUCAAUGAGUAGACUCUGACAGAUACAAUUAGCUGUAUAGGAUAUAUUAUGUUUUGGUUGUUCUCCUGGUUUAAUCUUAUUAUGAUCACAAGCUGUGUAUAUCUUAAUAGAAAUCCCCAACGUUAAUAUGUCCUAUUUAUAUUCAUGAUUGAGAAUGGGUCUGAGAUAUAUCAAUUUUAAGGAUGAUCAGAUGGUAUCAGACCCGACGACGGUUCGCCUGUUGUAGGUGGGAAGUACGCUGGAAAGGCCCAGGGAGCGCCAGGUACUUGUCUCACUUGGCAGGGAACGUCAGAGAUUUUGGGACUGUACUGAGUGUACUGCAGAGCCGGGGACGGCUCUAUUUCUAAGGUGGUGAGAUUGUAACACCCAUGAGUUGGUGUUAGUCCCACAUUGCCAAGGAAGUGGUUGUAUUGGUAGUAUAUAGAGCUUAACCAUACUCUAACUAAUGUCAAGGCCUUUUGAGGUAAAUUAAACCACAUGGGUGGGCCCUGAUCCAAAACCCUCUACUGCUGGAUAUCCGCAGUGACUAAAGGGGAACAAUAUUGACACUAGCGAGCGGUAUGGUGCUCGACGCACCGGGAAGAGCGAGGACAAAAUCCAGGGGCGUUACAAGGUGGCAUUCAAACGACAGGAAGAAUGGGCUAAGUAGUCUUUGUUUCUAUGUGUGUAACAAGAUGACCAAUUGUCUAUGGCUGAAUGCCAGACCAGAUAGUAUGGGCACACUUCAUAUAUCAUAUGUAGAAUUCAUAUAUGAACAUUUAUUUUCUCGGCGAACACCUGAGUUGUCGAUUGUGGUUGGGUUGUAUAUGUGUCAUUCCCAUUAGGCCGAGCAUAUAUAUAAUGCUUAUCGCUGAGGGUUUUUUUUUUUUUUAUGAAAUAAUAGUUUUAUUCAAAGUCCCAAACAAGGUUUUACAUCGUGAUCAGCGUACAAACUGUACCGUCAGGUUAGAUGCUCCAUGGAAACAGAUACACUACUAUGACAAGAAUAAAACAUAAGACAAAGACCCUUGCAGAUAAACAACAUCCCGCAAAGCCAGUAAACUACUUAAGCUAUCAGCAACCUGCAUUCCCACCUUCACUAAAACUGCACUGGUAAAUAAGCAGUUCCACUUCUCUUCAGUCGCAGACCUGAGCAGAAUCAAUCCCAGACCACCUCCCAGUGUUCCAACCUAGCUCAAUGUACAUCAACUACGUUUUGCCAGUCCAUACAAUGUGUGGUAUUACUAGAAGAUAUCCCUGCGCAUAUAGAGUCAGAGUUGAUAAUCUAAAACAACCUUUCAAACAAGCUUGAGAUGAAUACUUUUGUAUAAAUUACAACUUUUUCCCUUGCUCCCUCUCUUGCUCAUAGUCGGAUCUGAAAAAACAAAAUAUUGUAAUUAGUUGUUAGCAUCAAAGUGUCAAGUAAUAAGUAAUGGAAUGGUGUGAAAAUCACGAUCAUCACAAACUUUUGUAUGAGUUCUGCAGGUUUUUUUCAGCUCUGUCCCUGGCCUCCCUUAAGACCUCCAACCAUGCCCACACUGAGAAUUUAAUACCUUUUACCAGGUCAUUUACAUUAGUCUCCACCCCAUUAAAAAAAUUCUGAUUCUUAGCUCGCCAAGUACACCAUAGGAUAGCUUUGUGGGAGUAUUGACCAAACCAGCAGCCUCAAUGUUGAACCAUUCAGCUUUGGCUAGUUACCAAGUACACCUUUCAAGUCGAUUUGGUUGAAAAGAUUAUCCAUACGAUGAACAUGCCCAGUUAACCUCAGCCAGAUUGCUUUAAUAACGUCGUUUUAAAAGUAUCCAUAACUGUUAUAAUGAAACAAGAAGUUAUGACAAUUCUGAUAUCUAAAUUAUCAAUUUUUUUAAAUUUUUUUUUUAUAGGUUCAAAAUGUCAAAAAGAGAAUCGACAUAUCAGUGAUGUAUUUUUAAUGUUGGUACCUUUUUAUAUGUUGUAGUUUUAAUAACAUCAAACUGAUGGGUUUUUUUUCUUUGACAAAAUACGUUAAGCACUCGCUUAGGGAUGGACAUAAAACAUAGGAAAGAGCUAAUUUUUAAAGGUAUUCAUAGUGGAUGGUAUACAGCUGACCUUUAUGGCAUCCUUACAAGUUAUUAUGGACAAAUAAUGUAUCCAAAUGCUUUUUUGGAAACAAUUAGAGAUGAGAAAAUAAUGGAAAUAAUGAGAUCAACAGUAUAAGAUAUACCACCAGAAGAAGAAAAGGAUAUAUAUGGACAAAAUGGACCUGAUGAAAAAGAAGAUGAUAUACAAAAAAAUUAAAAUGGGUACAUGGAGUUGAUAGAGAUAUUUACUCUACAAAAUAUUGUUUAUUAGAUUAAUUAUUAUAUUUUUAAGAAUAAUAUGGACCAAUCCAUUGACGCUUUGUAAUUUUGGUCAACGAUUUUAUUAAUGCAUGAUAUGACAAGUUUUUCAAAAGCUUUCAUGUUUAUGAAGCAGUGUAGAAAACUUUGGUGCUUAUAAUCAAUUCAUUUAUUUAGGAUUAGCAACAAAAGUUGUUUUUUGAAAAUCUAUGUCACCUAAAAGAAUAUAAUAUACCUACUGCAACGCUGCAAGCUCAAUUGGUUUAUAUUGACUUUUAUUUAUCAACCUUUUUAGAUCUACCUGAGACAUGCAGCAGUAUGUUAACGUCAUGUACAUGUUAGAUUAGUUCUCUCAAUGAUUAUAAAGAGAAUACAAUAUUCAAAAAUAUGUAAAAACCUUUCUAGGUUCAAAUUUUCUGUAUUUUGUAUUGUGAAUAAGUCUGUAUAACUUAUGUAAAUUGAUAGUGUUUUCCUGGACUGAAAGAUACAUCUUUAUAACCUAUGUAAAUUCAUAUAUGUUACACCUACUGAAUAUCUGUUUUAAGAGAAUAAAACUACUAAUCUAACUCCUCAAAUUAAAUGUGAGAGAAUAAUAUUUUUAAUAUUACUAUCUUCAAAUUAUUAAUGAUAGUCGUGGCAGGGCCACGGGUUUUACUAGUCUAUAUUAUAAUCUACAACGGGUACAUAAAAUAGAUGAGUUUGGGUUAUAAGUAGCAAUCCAGAUUCUUUCGAGUUCGAAGUUGUAGAUUAGAUCUGCGACUGUGAUUAGAUUGGAGACAAACUCAUUUAUUAAUCGUUGGAUUAGAUUGGGUCCAAACUUAAGUUGUGUUGGAUGGUUGGGAUCACAUUUAGAUUGGGUCCAAACUUAUUCAACAUUGAAAAAUUAGAUCUAUGGAUUUGAUUAGUUAUAAAUUUAGAUAGAUCAGUUUUACCUUUCGAUUGGGCCAGCCCAAAUCUAAUUACGUUUUCAGACCAUAUGAUUAGGUCUCUUUCUUCUCUUUCUUCUUCGACAAAACCUCUUUCAAUCUCUAUCUCGCACACUCAUCUUUCCAUCAAACAUUAUCGAUUUUCUCUCUAACAUAUGAUUAGAUAAUCACAACCCUACAAAUGGAAAGUUGUUAUUUUUCCAGAUCAAUCUGUUCAUUACCGAGUAGAAACCAUUAUUGGACUCAAAUAAUUUGAAAACAAAUAGGUCAAAUCAUUUGUGGAUAUUUACAACUAGACAAAAUUUAACUUAUAUAUUGAUAACUUGACAACAGUACAAUAUCAAAUCUACGAUAAUCCGUUAGAAAAAUAAUAACAUCGAAUGGGCAUUGCAUCAGCAUGCCGGCUUUCUUUUCUCUCGAAUCUCAGUAACUUAAUUUAUAUUUUUUUCAGUGUUUUCCCUUAGUCAGCAGGCUUGGUUUGAUUUUAGCAUGAAGUUGUUAAUUUACAAAUAAGUUUUCCAAAUUGAUUCAAACCAUAAUACAUCAUCAGACCCACCAUUAUAUUUAGAGAGGUACUGAUCUUUAGAUUUUUUUACAAAUGACACAUUAUUAUAUUGAUACAUCCGCCAUUAUCCUAAUAUCUUGCUUUUAUAAUUGAUAUAGUGAGUUCAAUUUUUGGGUGUUAUAAUAUCAAAAUCCUAGGUUUUAAAAAUGGUGCAGUAUUAGUACGGUUGAAUGCCAUAGGUAGUACUACACAUCUCAAGUACUACCCAAAGGUAACAUUCCUACACCAUAUUUAAUGUUGAAUAGUAUCGGUUUUGAUGGAACAUAUAAAUCUACUUUUGUAUCAGUUCUUUUACACAAUUCGAAGAAAAUAUAAUACAGACGAAUUGCCAUAUUAUGACCACAUUUGUUUUGUUAACCUUUUCUUAGAAGCCCAAGAAAAGUGUUUGACAUAUUUGGCAUUCUUGAGUAAUCUUAGGUUUCUACAAGGUCAUCAGAAAAUAGAAAAAUCAUGAUAUGUGAAUUUAAAAGUUGCAGUGUACCUUUUUGAAAGCAUAGUAUGAGUUGUGGGCAUGACAACUUCCUUCCCUGAACCUUCCACAUACUCGCUGCAGACUUCCAAAACUAACAAACAUUAUUUAUGAGAUUUUAUGCAACACAUUAGAUGCUUUUUAUGUCUUAAGGGUCUCUGAAUUUUUCUGUAAUAUUGCAUAAUAUAUCUCAUUAAAUUUGGUUGUCAUUCACAAAUACUUUCGACUAUUUGUUUGACCAAAGGGAUCCCACUCGGAUCACCACCAAUUUUGUCAAAUAUGACUAACAGAUUGUCACUUGGUGUAGGGGUACUAUAUACAACAUACAUGU
rnacentral:lncRNA from 1 species